CCAAUAGCGUAUAUUAAAGUUGUUGCAGUUAAAAAGCUCGUAGUUGAAUUUCGGGAUCAAGUCGUCGGUCGUGCCUCGGUACGCACUGGUGACAUUGGUUUCUCCCUUCUGAAGAACCUUGAUGUCAUUAAUUUGGUGUCUUGGGGAAUCAGGACUGUUACUUUGAAAAAAUUAGAGUGUUUAAAGCAGGCUCACGCUUGAAUACAUUAGCAUGGAAUAAUGAAAUAGGACGUUUGAUUCUAUUUUGUUGGUUUCUAGGAUUGACGUAAUGAUUAAUAGGGAUAGUUGGGGGCAUUAGUAUUCAAUUGUCAGAGGUGAAAUUCUUGGAUUUAUUGAAGACUAACUACUGCGAAAGCAUUUGUCAAGGAUGUUUUCAUUAAUCAAGAACGAAAGUUAGGGGAUCGAAGACGAUCAGAUACCGUCGUAGUCUUAACCAUAAACUAUGCCGACUAGGAAUCAGACGAUGUUAAUUUUUUAAUGACUCGUUUGGCACCUUACG
rnacentral:misc_RNA from 1 species